rnacentral:rRNA from 1 species
GGACUACAGGGGUAUCUAAUCCCAUUCGCUCCCCACGCUUUCGUCCUAGCAGUGUCAGGUGGCACCCAGAAGCCCGCCUUCGCUAUUGGUGUUCCAAACGAUAUCAACGCAUUUCACUACUACACCGUUUGUUCCAGCUUCCUCUUUGCCCCUCUAGUCUAAAAGUUUCAAAAGACAGUCUCAAAGUUGAGCCUUGAGAUUUCACUUCUGACUUUUUAGACCACCUAUCGGUACGCUUUACGCCCAAUGAUUCCGGAUAACGCUUGAGGUCUCUGUAUUACCGCGGCUGCUGGCAC